GAUUUAGGGAGUAUUUGCAGUUUUGCUAAAUUAAUGGAUAAAAAAAUGGAACGAUGUCCAUGUACCAUGAAAAGAAGUUUAUCAUACAUUAAUACAAUUGUAUAAUGUGGUUUUUAAAACAAAUUUAAAUAUUAUUGGCUUCAUAUAUAGAGCAUUUACCGAAAACUCACUAUUUUCGUAGGGGGGUACACAUAGAUUUUGCGAAAAAUUCAAAAAAUUUGAGAAUACUGUUUUAAUACAUAUUUGAAUCAUGGAAUAACAUAUGAUGAAGUUCAAAGAGGUUUGGAGCCUUUGUUGUCUCCGUUUCUCUAAGGAAUAUCAAUUUUAUAGUGGUUAGUCCAAUGAUUUAGGGAGUAUUUACAGUUUUGCUAAAUUAAUGGAUAAAAAAUUAGAACGGUGUCCAUGUACCAUGAAAAGAAGUUUAUAAUACAUUAAUACAAUGGUAUAAUGUGGUUUUAAAUUUUAAAACAAAUUUAAAUAUUAUUGGCUUCAUAUAUAGAGCAUUUACCGAAAACUCACUAUUUUCGUAGGGGGGUACACAUAGAUUUUGCGAAAAAUUCAAAAAAUUUGAGAAUACUAUUUUAAUACAUAUUUGAAUCAUGUAAUAAAAUAUGAUGAAGUUCAAAGAGGUUUGGAACCUUUGUUGUCUCNNNNNNNNNNNNNNNNNNNNNNNNNNNNNNNNNNNNNNNNNNNNNNNNNNNNNNNNNNNNNNNNNNNNNNNNNNNNNNNNNNNNNNNNNNNNNNNNNNNNUAUGAUGAAGUUCAAAGAGGUUUGGAACCUUUGUUGUCUCCGUUUCUCUAAGGAAUAACAAUUUUAUAGUGGUUAGUCCAAUGAUUUAAGUAGUAUUUACAGUUUUGCUAAAUUAAUUGAUAAAAAAUUAGAACAAUGUCCAUGUACCAUGAAAAGGAGUUUAUCAAAAAUUAAUACAAAUGUAUAAUGUGGUUAUAAAUUUUAAAACGAAUUAAAAGAUUACAGGCUUUAUAUAUAGAGCAUUUACUGAAAACUCACUAUUUUCGUAGGGGGGUACACAUAGAUUUUGAGAAAAAUUCAAAAAAAUUGAAAAUACUGGUUUAAUACAUAUUUGAAUCAUGUAAUAAAAUAUGAUGAAAUUCAAAGAGGUUUGGAACCUUUGUUGUCUCCGUUUCUCUAGGUAAUAGCAAUUUUAUAGUGGUUAGUCUAAUGAUUUAGGGAGUAUUUGCAGUUUUGCUAAAUUAAUUGAUAAAACAUUAGAACGAUUUCCAUGUACCAUGAAAAGGAGUUUAUCAUAAAUUAAUACAAAUGUAUAAUGUGGUUAUAAAUUUUAAAACGAAUUAAAAGAUUAUAGGCUUCAUAUAUAGAUCAGUUACCGAAAACUCACUAUUUUCGUAGGGGGGUACACAUAGAUUUUGAGAAAAAUUCAAAAAAUUUGACAAUACUGUUUUAAUGCAUAGUUGAAUCAUGUAAUAAUAUAUGAUGAAUUUCAAAGAGGUUUGGAACCUUUGUUGUCUCCGCUUCUCUAGGGAAUAACAAUUUUAUAGUGGUUAGUCAAAUGAUUUAGGGAGUAUUUGCAGUUUUGCUAAAUUAAUGGAUAAAAAAUUAGAACGAUGUCCAUGUACCAUGAAAAGAAGUUUAUGAUACAUUAAUACAAAGGUAUAAUGUGGUUUUAAAUAUUAAAACAAAUUUAAAUAUUAAAACAAAUUUAAAUAUUAUAGGCUUCAUAUAUAGAGCAUUUACCAAAAAUUCACUAUUUUUGUAGGGGGUGGGGUACACAUAGAUUUUGAGAAAAAUUCAAAAAAUUUGAGAAUACUGUUUUAAUACAUAUAUGAAUCGUUGAAUAACAUAUGAUGAAGUUCAAAGAGGUUUGUAACCUUUGUUGUCUCCGUUUCUCUAGGGAAUAGCAAUUUUACAGUGGUUAGUCCAAUGAUUUAGAGAGUAUUUGUAGUUUUGCUAAACUAAUGGAUAAAAAAUUAGAACAAUGUCCAUGUACCAUGAAAAGAAGUUUAUCAUACAUUAAUACAAAGGUAUAAUGUGGUUUUAAAUUUUAAAACAAAUUUAAAGAUUAUAGGCUUCAUAUAUAGAGGAUUUACCGAAAACUCACUAUUUUCGUAGGGGGGUACACAUAGAUUUUGAGAAAAG
rnacentral:lncRNA from 1 species